rnacentral:lncRNA from 1 species
AGUAAGCCAUUCCUGGGGAUUAUCGCAUAGCUUUAGCUAACUAGUGACUCCCAGAUAUCAGCCCACCUGUCUCAGCUCUGGGAUUAAAAGUGUGCACCACUCUGUCCCACCUUCCUCUUCUAACAAUGAGUCUCCAAAGUUGUUUUGUUUCAUUUCGUUUUGUCUAACAGGACAGGCCCCAAAGCUGAGCUCUGCAAACUCACCCAACCUCACUCCUCAACACGGAACACCAGAAAACCGCCACUGGACCAGCGGAACUGCGGAAGGAAGAGGCUGCCACGUGCUUGUGUCGAUCAUGUCUCCUGGACCCCUGGUUCCUGUCGAAGUUACCGCCCCCAUAGCCCCCCCCCCCCUCUCAAGAGAGGCUUGUGGCUAUCAGUCACGUAGACAAUGUUCCAAGCUUCUGGCAUUCUGGCUAGACUCCUUCCCACAGUUACCUAGCAACAGCAAGAUAGCCAGCCCACUAUAAGAGGGUCUGCUUGGCCCCUCCUUUCUCUCUCUAAGCUUUUACCUCUCUUACUCUGAUUAUUAGAUAACCUCUCUCUCUCCCUCUCUCUCUCUCUCCAUGUGACCAUGGCCUGUCUCUCUCUCUUUUUACUUUCUCUCCUUUCUCCCUGCUUUUCUACAAUAAAGCUCUAAAACCAUGGACCGUCUCUGUUCAUCAAGGCCCGCUGAGCUUGAACAAUGGGGAUAGGCUUUCUCCUAACAAGCUGAGUCUAACCUCCCGCCAGAAGGCCUUCCUACACUGCAGCCACAGACUGGACUAAGGACUCUUGCCUGUGUGGGAGCCACUCAGUGCCCCCCUCUAACUCUGCCCUCUCUUCCCUUAUCUCUGGGCCAAGUGCUGCCCCCUGGGCCCCUAUUCUGUUCUCUGCUCCUUCGCCAGAUUCAGCGUGGGAUGCCAGAGGCUGAGAACCUGGUACCUGGAGUUGCCCCUUGUCCACAACCCGCUGUGUGGGGUA